AACGAACGCUGGCGGCAUGCCUAACACAUGCGAGUCGAACGAGACCUUCGGGUCUAGUGGCGCACGGGUGCGUAACGCGUGGGAACCUGCCCUUAGGUUCGGAAUAACUCCCCGAAAGGGGUGCUAAUACCGGAUAAUGUCUUCGGACCAAAGAUUUAUCGCCUUUGGAUGGGCCCGCGUUGGAUUAGCUAGUUGGUAGGGUAAAAGCCUACCAAGGCGACGAUCCAUAGCUGGUCUGAGAGGAUGAUCAGCCACACUGGGACUGAGACGCGGCCCAGACUCCUACGGGAGGCAGCAGUGGGGAAUAUUGGACAAUGGGCGAAAGCCUGAUCCAGCAAUGCCGCGUGAGUGAUGAAGGCCUUAGGGUUGUAAAGCUCUUUUACCCGGGAUGAUAAUGACAGUACCGGGAGAAUAAGCUCCGGCUAACUCCGUG
rnacentral:rRNA from 1 species